AGAUUGAACGCUAGCGGGAUGCUUUACACAUGCAAGUCGAACGGCAGCGCGGACUUCGGUCUGGCGGCGAGUGGCGAACGGGUGAGUAAUAUAUCGGAACGUGCCCAGUAGCGGGGGAUAACUACGCGAAAGCGUGGCUAAUACCGCAUACGCCCUACGGGGGAAAGGGGGGGAUUCUUCGGAACCUCUCACUAUUGGAGCGGCCGAUAUCAGAUUAGCUAGUUGGUGAGGUAAAGGCUACACCAAGGCGACGAUCUGUAGCUGGUUUGAGAGGACGACCAGCC
rnacentral:rRNA from 1 species